AUUGAACGCUGGCGGCAGGCCUAACACAUGCAAGUCGAACGAGUGGCGGACGGGUGAGUAAUGUCUGGGAAUCUGCCCGAUGGAGGGGGAUAACUACUGGAAACGGUAGCUAAUACCGCAUACCAUCGGAUGUACCCAGAUGGGAUUAGCUAGUAGGUGGGGUAACGGCUAACCUAGGAGACGAUCCCUAGCUGGUCUGAGAGGAUGACGAGCCACACGGGGACUGAGACACGGUCCAGACUCCUACGUGAGGCAGCAGUUGGGAAUAUUGCACAAUGGGCGCAAGCCUGAUGCAGCCAGGCCGCGUGUAUGAAGAAGGCCUUCGGGUUGUAAAGUACUUGCAGUGGGGAGGCGUUACCCGAAGAAGAAGCACCGGCUAACUCCGUGCCAGCAGCCGCGGUAAUUC
rnacentral:rRNA from 1 species